CCCUUAGAUGUUCUGGGCAGCACGCGCGCUACAAUGGUCUUCGCAAACGGAUGCAUUCUCGAAGGAGAAUGCCAAUCUUGGAAUCUAUGCCUUGGUCGGGACAGUUGCUUGCAAUUUUUCGACUCGAACCAGGAAUUCCUUGUAAUCGUGAUUCAUCACAUCACGAUGAAUACGUCCCUGCCCUUUGUACACACCGCCCGUCGCUCCUACUGAUCGAAGAGUUAGGUGAAUUGUUUUGAUCGAUAAGAUUUGACUAUGGUCAACUCUCGUUGUGAAAUUCUGUGAAUCUGACUGUUUAGAGGAAGGAAAAGCCGUAACA
rnacentral:rRNA from 1 species